AUGGACGUAGGAGAACUGUUAUCAUACCAGCCUGACAAACCAAUUGCCAACCUAAAGAAGAGAAGAGAUGACGAUCGUCCUGAAUAUGAUGUCCCUCGAAAGAGGAGGAUGGGAGACGAUGAUGACCCUGAACGAAUCCUAGAGAUGGCUGAUGAUGACCUUCCAACUGAUGUCUUGGAUGAGACAAAUCUGAAGAAAAUGUUGCUGCAGUUUGAAAAGAAAGUAUACCGAAAUCAGGAAAUGAGGAUAAAAUUUCCGGACCUGCCUGAAAAGUUUAUGGAGUCUGAGAUUGAGCUGAAUGACAUCAUACAGGAGAUGCAUGUGAUUGCCACAGUGCCAGACCUUUACCAUGUGCUGGUGGAGUUAAACACAGUGCAGUCACUGUUGCAGCUGCUCACACAUGAAAACACAGAUAUUGCAAUAGCUGUGGUUGACCUGAUCCAGGAACUGACCGACGUUGACACCCUCAAUGAGAGCGAAGAGGGUGCAGGUGCUGUAGUAGAUGUGUUGUUGGAAGGGCAAGUGGUGGCAGUUCUGGUUCAGAAUCUUGAUCGACUUGAUGAGAACGUGAAGGAGGAGAGUGAUGGUGUGCAUAACACUCUAGCUAUAGUGGAGAAUGUCACCGAGUUUCGAACUGAAGUGACCACAGAGGCAGCCCAGCAAGGCCUCCUGCAGUGGCUGCUGAAGAGAGUCAGGGCUAAAAUGCCAUUUGAUGGGAACAAAUUGUACUCAAGUGAAAUACUGGCAAUACUGCUGCAAAAUUCUGAUGAAAACCGACAGUUACUGGGAGACAUUGAUGGCAUCGAUGUCCUGCUUCAGCAGCUGGCUGCCUACAAGAAGCAUGAUCCUAACACUAAAGAUGAGAUUGAGUACAUGGAGAACAUGUUCAACUGUCUGUGCUCGUCCCUCAUGCUGCCGGCCAACAGAGUCAAGUUCCUCAAGGGUGAAGGUCUGCAGUUGAUGAAUCUCAUGUUGAGAGAAAAGAAGUUAUCCAGGAACAGUGCUAUCAAGGUGUUGAAUCAUGCCAUGACAGGGAACGAGGGUUUGGACAACUGUCAGAAGUUUGUGGACAUCUUGGGGCUACGAACUGUCUUUCCCCUCUUCAUGAAGACGCCGAAACUGGCUAAGGCUGGUCCUACACCUGACGAGCUUGAGGAACACAUCAGCUCUGUGAUUGGUUCAUUGUUACGGAACUGUUCUGGGCCACAGAGGCAGAGACUACUCAACAAAUUUACUGAAAAUGAUCAUGAAAAGGUAGAACGACUACUUGAACUCCACUUCAAGUACCUUGAUAAAGUGCGGACUUGUGAUGAACAGAUUGAAAAAGAAAAAAAAGAGACUGAGGCAGACAGGCGAGGACAUCGAUGACACAGCUGAGGAAGUGUUUUAUCUGAAGAGACUGGAUGUGGGACUGUUCACCUUACAACUCAUUGACUACAUCAUGCUGGAGAUCUGUGCUACAGGGGCACCAUCAAUUCGACAAAGAGUUAUGCAAAUUCUGAACAUGAGGGGAGGUUCUAUAAAGGUGAUCAGGAACAUCAUGAGAG
rnacentral:misc_RNA from 1 species